CCUACGGGAGGCUGCAGUGGGGAAUAUUGCGCAAUGGGCGAAAGCCUGACGCAGCGACGCCGCGUGAGGGAUGAAGGUCUUCGGAUCGUAAACCUCUGUCAGCAGGGAAGUACGGUCACUGUGCUAAUCAGCAGUGAAUUGACGGUACCUGCAAAGGAAGCACCGGCUAACUCCGUGCCAGCAGCCGCGGUAAUACGGAGGGUGCGAGCGUUAAUCGGAAUUACUGGGCGGAAAGCGCUCGUAGGAGGUAUGUCAAGUCAGGGGUGAAAGCCACGCGCUCAACGUGGGAACUGCCUUUGAAACUGGCAAACUGGAGUGUGUGAGAGGAUAGUGGAAUUCCAGGUGUAGGAGUGAAAUCCGUAGAUAUCUGGAGGAACAUCAGUGGCGAAGGCGACUAUCUGGCACAUAACUGACGCUGAGGAGCGAAAGCGUGGGUAGCAAACAGGAUUAGAUACCCGUGUAGUC
rnacentral:rRNA from 1 species